AUAAAAUGGCGGUUUGUGUUGAUCGGUUAUUCUUUGCUCGGUUAUUUAUAAUAAAUCCUUUAUAUAAACUAUAAUAGUGCUUUGAAUGCAUUGUCGCAAGAAACCAACAAGUUUCUUCACUAAAUUGUAAGUUUUUUUAGAAUAAAUAAAAAAUUAAACCAAGGAAGGAAAUGAAACGAAUCAGAAAUGUAACUAAUAAAGCAUUUAAUGAAGAAAUUAAAAUCCUUUCCACCACAGUUGUAAGUUCCUUAGGACAGAUGAGAUUAAACUGGCAUGAAAUUUUAUGAAGAAAGAAAAUGAAAUGAAUUAGAAACGUAAAUAUAAAAGGCAUCAGGAUCACUUAUCCGGAAACCACUCGUCGAGUCUUGUUUUCUUCAGCCAGUAGAACCAAUUGAUUGAAUCAAUCAACUAGCACACCACAAUAAUUGAAAAGUUGCUUAGAAUCGUUUUGCCCGAGUUGUGGACUUUCAUAAGUAAUUUUAUGUUUUUAGUAUGCAAUUUGUCACAGUGUAAUUUAUUCCUUCAAUAGUAUAUACUCACUUGUGUACUUGUUUAAUUGUCCCAACUAAGGUUUAUAACCUACUGCUCCUUAAACAUUGGAGUUGAUGAAUUGACAAUUCAAACAUGUAUCUAAAGGCUUAAUUACCCAUUACAGUUUUUAUGUAGUUCAUGAGGCUUAAUUAUCUCUUAUGCGUCAAUUGGAAUAAAGACAUUUUCUUUUUACCUUAUCGAGGGGUCAGAAGGUCAUUUUAAUGUGUUUGUGAUUUAACAUAUGACACUGGACAGUCAUCUCAUUUAGUUGUGUUGAGUAAUUUUACCUAAUUUUUAUCCUCGAUGGAUUAUAAAUCCUAUUUACUAUCUGUCCAUGAGGAUUUUCCUUAAUUUUUCAUUCUUUCAUACUAAAGUUAUGAUUGUAAAAAAGUAACUGGUGUUUAUAAUAAUUAAUGUCUCCUU